CCUACGGGUGGCAGCAGUGAGGAAUAUUGGUCAAUGGACGAGAGUCUGAACCAGCCAAGUAGCGUGAAGGAUGACUGCCCUAUGGGUUGUAAACUUCUUUUAUAUGGGAAUAAAACGUUCCACGUGUGGGAUUUUGUAUGUACCAUAUGAAUAAGGAUCGGCUAACUCCGUGCCAGCAGCCGCGGUAAUACGGAGGAUCCGAGGGUUAUCCGGAUUUAUUGGGUUUAAAGGGAGCGUAGGUGGAUUGUUAAGUCAGUUGUGAAAGUUUGCGGCUCAACCGUAAAAUUGCAGUUGAAACUGGCAGUCUUGAGUACAGUAGAGGUGGGCGGAAUUCGUGGUGUAGCGGUGAAAUGCUUAGAUAUCACGAAGAACUCCGAUUGCGAAGGCAGUUCACUGGACUGCAACUGACACUGAGGCUCGAAAGUGUGGGUAUCAAACAGGAUUAGAUACCCCAGUAGUC
rnacentral:rRNA from 1 species